rnacentral:lncRNA from 10 species
AGUUGAGGAUGUGAAAAUGAAUGAGCUGAGUGUGUGGAGGGACCAGAGGUGAGGAUCACUGAUCUGGCAUUGCCCUGCCAUAGCAGUGGUGUUUCUGGGUGUCUGGAUUACAGCCUCAAGACAAUCACCACCACCACUGAGACAUCCCUGGGAUGGAGAAAAGCGAAGAUCAGAAAUAGCUCCCAGGAAUGGUUUUCAUUAUCUUCUGCCAUUGUUGCCUUCUCUGAAACACACUGCUCUCGGUCAUUCGGUAGGCUGACUGCAAAAAUGGCUUCAACUCCCCCUCCUCCUUCCAUUUGCACCUGUCCAUGCCGCUCUGCAAAGUGCCCUGCAGCUCCUCCCAGCAAGGCUGGAGUCUGUGCUUGUGACUCACUCGGACCAACACAAUGCAGCAAAGGUGAUGUGUGCCACGCCUGAGCCUGGGCUUGAAAGGUCUUGCGUCUUCUGCUUGGUCUCUUGAAACCCUGCUGCCACCAGGUGAACAAGCCCAAGCUAACCUACUGGGUGAUCAGAGACACAUCCUAGUCACCUCUCUUGCAUCUGUCACCCCAGCCAACAGCCAGAUGAUUCCCAGACACAGCUGCCAUGCGACCUGCAGCUGACCACACAUGUGUGAGGGGCCCAGCUGAGAUGAGAGAACAGCCCAGCUGAGCCCAGACGCAUGCACUGGCUUGAAGCAUCAUGAGAUAGAUAAAUGGCUGUUGUCUGAAGCCGAUCCCUUUAGUGAGCAAGCAGAGAUAUGGCAUCCCUGGUCAAGUGAGCAUUUAAAGGAAAACGGUGGCAGAUGGAACCUUCCCAAAAUCCACAGACCAAUAACUGACCCUUUCUGCAAAACCGGCUGAGCUUCCCCAGCCCUGGGUCUUUCACCUCCCACCGCUCUCAGGCUGCCUCCUUACCAUCUCUUCCCCGAGCCUGAAAUGCACCUAGCAUGGGGCUUGUCAGGUAGAGUUUUCCUGCUUUAAUCUAAAGUGAAUGUGCACUGAAGUGGCUAUAUUUUUCUAAGAGGGGAAAGAAAUCACCCUCCAUUUAGUCAUUUUGUUGUGCCCUUG